rnacentral:tRNA from 1 species
GCGGAUGUGGCGGAAUUGGCAGACGCGCAUGAUUUAGGAUCAUGUUCCUUACGGAGUGGAGGUUCAAGUCCUCUCAUCCGCACCA